rnacentral:rRNA from 1 species
CGGAACGGGUGAGUAAUGCGUGACCAACCUGCCCCAUGCUCCAGAAUAGCUCUUGGAAACGGGUGGUAAUGCUGGAUGCUCCAACUUGACGCAUGUCUUGUUGGGAAAGUGUUUAGUGGCAUGGGAUGGGGUCGCGUCCUAUCAGCUUGUAGGCGGGGUAAUGGCCCACCUAGGCUUCGACGGGUAGCCGGCCUGAGAGGGCGGACGGCCACAUUGGGACUGAGACACGGCCCAAACUCCUACGGGAGGCAGCAGGC